rnacentral:rRNA from 1 species
UACGGAGGGUGCUAGCGUUGUUCGGAAUCACUGGGCGUAAAGGGCGUGUAGGCGGCCUGCUAAGUCUGAUGUGAAAUCCCCUCGCUCAACGAGGGAACUGCGUCGGAUACUGGCAGACUCGAGUACCGGAGAGGAAGGUGGAAUUCCAGGUGUAGCGGUGAAAUGCGUAGAUAUCUGGAGGAACACCGGUGGCGAAGGCGGCAUCCUGGACCGGUAUUGACGCUGAGUGAGCGAAAGCCAGGGGAGCAAACGGG